rnacentral:rRNA from 1 species
CGGACGGGUGAGUAAUGCCUAGGAAUCUGCCUGGUAUGGGGGACAACGUUUCGAAAGGAACGCUAAUACCGCAUACGUCCUACGGGAGAAAGCAGGGGACCUUCGGGCCUUGCGCUAUCAGAUGAGCCUAGGUCGGAUUAGCUAGUUGGUGAGGUAAUGGCUCACCAAGGCGACGAUCCGUAACUGGUCUGAGAGGAUGAUCAGUCACACUGGAACUGAGACACGGUCCAGACUCCUACGGGAGGCAGCAGCC